rnacentral:tRNA from 1 species
GUAGUCGUGGCCGAGUGGUUAAGGCGACAGACUCGAAAUCUGUUGGGAUAUUCCCGCGCAGGUUCAAAUCUUGCCGACUACG